UACAGAGGGUGCAAGCGUUAAUCGGAAUUACUGGGCGUAAAGCGUGCGUAGACGGUUAUGUAAGUCAGGUGUGAAAGCCCCGGGCUCAACCUGGGAAUGCCAUUUGAGACUGCAUAGCUAGGGUACGGAAGAGGGAAGCGGAAUUUCAGGUGUAGCGGUGAAAUGCGUAGAUAUCGUAAGGAAGACCAGUGGCGAAGGCGGGUCUCUGGACAGUUCCUGACGCUGAGGCACGAAGGUCAGGGGAGCAAACGGG
rnacentral:rRNA from 1 species